rnacentral:rRNA from 1 species
UUCGCAAUGCCCGAAAGGGUGACGAAGCGACGCCGCGUGGGUGAGGAAGGCCUUCGGGUUGUAAAACCCUGUCAGGAGUUAAGAAAUAUAAGUGCGCUAAUAUCGCAUUUAUUUGACGAAGGCUCCAAAGGAAGCCACGGCUAACUCUGUGCCAGCAGCCGCGGUAAUACAGAGGUGGCAAGCGUUGUUCGGAAUUAUUGGGCGUAAAGAGCACGUAGGUGGGUUUGUAAGUCAGAUGUGAAAGCCUUCUGUUCAACGGAAGAAUUGCAUCUGAAACUACAAGUCUUGAGUGUAGGAGGGGAGAAUGGAACUUCUGGUGGAGCGGUGAAAUGCGUAGAUAUCAGAAGGAACGCCGGCGGCGAAAGCGAUUCUCUGGCCUAUUACUGACACUCAGUGUGCGAAAGCUAGGGGAGCAAACGGGAUUAGAUACCCCGGUAGUCCUAGCUGUAAACGAUGGGCACUAAGUAGAGGGGUUUU